rnacentral:rRNA from 1 species
CAUCUCCUACGGGGGGCAGCAGUGAGGAAUAUUGGUCAAUGGGCGGAAGCCUGAACCAGCCAAGUCGCGUGAGGGAAUAAGGCCCUACGGGUCGUAAACCUCUUUUGCCGGGGAGCAAGGGCCGGGACGAGUCCCGGUCCGGAGAGUACCUGGAGAAAAAGCAUCGGCUAACUCCGUGCCAGCAGCCGCGGUAAUACGUAGGGAGCGAGCGUUAUCCGGAAUUAUUGGGUGUAAAGGGUGCGUAGACGGGAAAACAAGUUAGUUGUGAAAUCCCUCGGCUUAACUGAGGAACUGCAACUAAAACU